rnacentral:rRNA from 1 species
GGACGAACGCUGGCGGCGUGCCUAAUACAUGCAAGUCGAACGGUCUUUCUAUGGAAGCUUGCUUCCACUGAGAAGAUAGUGGCGAACGGGUGAGUAACACGUGGGUAACCUGCCCAUAAGAGGGGGGAUAACAUCCGGAAACGGGUGCUAAUACCGCAUAGUUUUCUUGAUCGCAUGAUUGAGAAAGGAAAGACGGCCUUUGUGCUGUCGCUUAUGGAUGGACCCGCGGCGUAUUAGUUAGUUGGUGAGGUAACGGCUCACCAAGACGAUGAUACGUAGCCGACCUGAGAGGGUGAUCGGCCACAUUGGGACUGAGACACGGCCCAAACUCCUACGGGAGGCAGCAGUAGGGAAUCUUCCGCAAUGGACGAAAGUCUGACGGAGCAACGCCGCGUGAGUGAAAGAAGGUUUUCGGAUCGUAAAACUCUGUUGUCAGAGAAGAACAAGUUGGAGAGUAACUGCUCCAGCCUUGACGGUAUCUGACCAGAAAGCCACGGCUAACUACGUGCCAGCCGCGGC